GACACUACAUGUAUCUAGUAUGACCAGUUAUACGGAGUCACUGGGUAUUCAUUGUAGGGUCGA
rnacentral:pre_miRNA from 1 species